rnacentral:lncRNA from 1 species
UGCAGUUCAAACCGAGCAUCAGUAAGGGGAAGAAAGGUGAUUUGAGUGACUUUGAACGUGGCAUGGUUGUUGGUGCCAGAAGGGCUGGUCUGAGUAUUUCAGAAACUGCUGAUCUACUGGGAUUUUCACGCACAACCAUCUCUAGGGUUUACAGAGAAUGGUCCGAAAAAGAAAAAAUAUCCAGUGAGCAGCAGUUCUGUGGGCGGAAAUGCCUUGUUGAUGCCAGAGGUCAGAGGAGAAUGGCCAGACUGGUUCGAGCUGAUAGAAAGGCAACAGUGACUCAAAUAACCACCCGUUACAACCAAAGUAGGCAGAAGAGCAUCUCUGAACGCACAGUACGUCAAACUUUGAGGCAGAUGGGCUACAGCAGCAGAAGACCACGCCUGGUGCCACUCCUUUCAGCUAAGAACAGGAAACUGAGGCUACAAUUUGCACAAGCUCAUCGAAAUUGGACAAUAGAAGAUUGGAAAAACGUUGCCUGGUCUGAUGAGUCUCGAUUUCUGCUGCGACAUUCGGAUGGUAGGGUCAGAAUUUGGCGUCAACAACAUGAAAGCAUGGAUCCAUCCUGCCUUGUAUCAACGGUUCAGGCUGGUGGUGGUGGUGUCAUGGUGUGGGGAAUAUUUUCUUGGCACUCUUUGGGCCCCUUGGUACCAAUUGAGCAUCGUUGCAACGCCACAGCCUACCUGAGUAUUGUUGCUGACCAUGUCCAUCCCUUUAUGACCACAAUGUACCCAACUUCUGAUGGCUACUUUCAGCAGGAUAAUGCGCCAUGUCAUAAAGCUGGAAUCAUCUCAGACUGGUUUCUUGAACAUGACAAUGAGUUCACUGUACUCAAAUGGCCUCCACAGUCACCAGAUCUCAAUCCAAUAGAGCAUCUUUGGGAUGUGGUGGAACGGGAGAUUCGCAUCAUGGAUGUGCAGCCGACAAAUCUGCGGCAACUGUGUGAUGCCAUCAUGUCAAUAUGGACCAAGCUCUCUGAGGAAUGCUUCCAGCACCUUGUUGAAUCUAUGCCACGAAGAAUUGAGGCAGUUCUGAAGGCAAAAGGGGGUCCAACCCGUUACUAGCAUGGUGUACCUAAUAAAGUGGCCGGUGAGUGUAUAUCGCUCACUGUUGUUCGAAAUCUGCUCCUGCUGGUCAUUUUAAAGAAUGCAGACUUCAGCUCACGGACUCUAAUUCAAAAAUAUAAACCCAGUUUGUUUGUUCUGGAGAACCACAGUCCAGAUACCAGUUAGACACGACAAAAGCUGCGAUUUGUAUGUUUGAGGAUGAUCCGAUCAUCGGAGGAGAAAAUAGUCGAACAGAAACUUUUAUUUUGAAGUCCAGUUCUGGUCCAAACAGAGUCCCGGUGUUUGAGCUCUUCUUCACCACAUUAAUGAAACCAUCAGCUGUUCUGGUUCAGAGGAAACGGACCCUCUCCUGAGCCGCUGCGGCGUGAAUAAAGUUCUGGAGCUUGUUUAUGUGCGCUCUCUGUUUAUCAUCGCUUUAUUUCCCUCAUUGACUCAGUGGAGGUUGUUUUGGAGGAUGCAGCGUCCCGGAACAGGAGGAGGGGAGCCGAGAGUGUGUGAGGGUGAUAUGAACACACACACACACACACACACACACAGUUCACUCAUCAGUCGAGCAUUUUCAUCAGCUGACAUUUUCUGACAUUUAGUGACUUCCUGUUUCUACUGCAGCUUAUAAUGAAACAAAUCAAUACUGUAAAUAUUGAGCAAACGGAGCGAAUGAGCAGAGACGGUUUUAACGACUUUAAAUUAACAUCAAAUAAUAUUUACAGGUUUGUUUGUAGGAUUGAGAGCGCCCAGACUAAAUUAAUGUGAUUUAAAGUUUAUAUACAUGUUUAUAUAAAUAUAUUUGUUUUAUUUAGUCUGUUUUCUGGUCUCUUAUUCACUUAAAUACUCAUGAAGGAUUCUAAACAGAGAUGUCAUUCUAAUCAUUUCUUUGCUAAAACUAAACUAAACCCAAGAACUAAACCCAGGAACUAAACCCAAGAACUAAACCCAGGAACUAAACCCAGGAACUAAACUAAAGAACUAAACUCAAGAACUAAACCCAAGAACUGAACUCAAGAACUGAACUCAAGAACUAAACUCAAGAACUAAACCCAGGAACUAAACUCAAGAACUAAACUAAAGAACUAAACCCGAGAACUAAACCCAGGAACUAAACUAAAUAACUAAACUAAAGAACUAAACUCAAGAACUAAACUAAAGAUCUAAACCCAAGAACUACACCCAGGAACUAAACUAAAGAACUAAACCCAAGAACUACACCCAGGAACUAAACUCAAGAACUAAACUAAAGAUCUAAACCCAAGAGCUGAACUCAAGAACUAAACCCAAGAACUGAACUCAAGAACUAAACCCAAGAACUAAACCGAGGAACUUAACUAAAGAACUAAACCCAAGAACUAUACUAGAGAACUAAACUCAAGAACUAAACCCAGGAACUAUACUAGAGAACUGAACUCAGGAACUAAACCCAAGAACUAAACUAAAGAACUAAACCCAAGAACUGAACUCAAGAACUAAACUCAAGAACUAAACCCAGGAACUAAACUCAAGAACUAAACCCAGAACUAAACCCAGGAACUAAACCCAAGAACUAUACUAGAGAACUAAACCCAAGAACUAAACUCAAGAACUGAACUCAGGAACUAAACCCAAGAACUAAACCCAGGAACUAAACUAAAGAACUAAACCCAGGAACUAAACUCAGGAACUAAACCCAAGAACUAAACCCAGGAACUAAACUAAAGAACUAAACCCAAGAACUAAACCCAAGAACUGAACUCAAGAACUGAACUCAAGAACUAAACUCAAGAACUAAACCCAGGAACUAAACUCAAGAACUAAACUAAAGA